GGGCCAGUGGCGCAAAAAGGAUAACUCGCCUGACUACGGAUCAGGGAGAUUCCAGGUUCGAAUCCCUGGCUGGCUCG